rnacentral:rRNA from 1 species
AUAAUGGGUCAGCGACUUAUAUUCUGUAGCAAGGUUAACCGUAUAGGGGAGCCGGAGGGAAACCGAGUCUUAACCGGGCGUUAAGUUGCAGGGUAUAGACCCGAAACCCGGUGAUCUAGCCAUGGGCAGGUUGAAGGUUGGGUAACACUAACUGGAGGACCGAACCGACUAAUGUUGAAAAAUUAGCGGAUGACCUGUGGCUGGGGGUGAAAGGCCAAUCAAACCGGGAGAUAGCUGGUUCUCCCCGAAAGCUAUUUAGGUAGCGCCUCGUGAAUUCAUCUCCGGGGGUAGAGCACUGUUUCGGCUAGGGGGCCAUCCCGGCUUACCAACCCGAUGCAAACUGCGAAUACCGGAGAAUGUUAUCACGGGAGACACACGGCGGGUGCUAACGUCCGUCGUGAAGAGGGAAACAACCCAGACCGCCAGCUAAGGUCCCAAAGUCAUGGUUAAGUGGGAAACGAUGUGGGAAGGCCCAGACAGCCAGGAUGUUGGCUUAGAAGCAGCCAUCAUUUAAAGAAAGCGUAAUAGCUCACUGGUCGAGUCGGCCUGCGCGGAAGAUGUAACGGGGCUAAACCAUGCACCGAAGCUGCGGCAGCGACACUAUGUGU